rnacentral:rRNA from 1 species
GCCAGAGGCUACUGCUAUCGGGGUCCGACUAAGCCAUGCGAGUUGAGAGGGGUAAGCCCUCGGCAUAUUGCUCAGUAACACGCGGAUAACCUGCCCUUGGGUUUGGGAUAACCCCGGGAAACUGGGACUAAUACCGGAUAGAUCAAAGAUACUGGAAUGUUCUUUGUUCGAAAGCUCCGGCGCCCAAGGAUGGGUCUGCGGCCUAUCAGGUAGUAGUGGGUGUAACGUACCUACUAGCCUACGACGGGUAAGGGUUGUGAGAGCAAGAGCCCUGAGAUGGAUUCUGAGACAUGAAUCCAGGCCCUACGGGGUGCAGCAGGCGCGAAAACUUUACACUGCGGGAAACCGCGAUAAGGGGACCCCGAGUGCCAGCACCUAGUGCUGGCUGUCCAGCUGUUCAAAAAACAGUUGUUAGCAAGGGCCGGGCAAGACCGGUGCCAGCCGCCGCGGUAACACCGGCGGCCCGAGUGGUAGCCGUUAUUAUUGGGUUUAAAGGGUCCGUAGCCGGCCUAUUAAGUCUCUUGGGAAAUCUGGCGACUCAAUCGUCAGGCGUUCAAGAGAUACUGGUAGGCUUGGGACCGGGAGAGGUGGGAGGUACUCCAGGGGUAGGGGUGAAAUCUCGUAAUCCUUGGGGGACCACCGAUGGCGAAGGCAUCCCACCAGAACGGGUCCGACGGUGAGGGACGAAAGCUGGGGGCACGAACCGGAUUAGAUACCCGGGUAGUCCCAGCUGUAAACGAUGCUCGCUAUGUGUCAGGUGCGGUGCGACCGCAUCUGGUGCCGUAGUGAAAACUUGAAGCGAGUCACCUGGGAAGUACGGUCGCAAGGCUGAAACUUAAAGGAAUUGGCGGGGGAGCACUAC